CCCGGGGGGCAGCCGGGGCUGGAGGGGGUGGGGACACCCGUGUCCCCCCCAGCCCCACAAGGCCAACCCCAACCAAGCCUUUGCUCUCCUCCUGCAGCCCGUUCAGGCCGGCGGCGUCCAAUGUGGGGAGGCAGGCGGGAUCGGCGGCCCGCCAAUCUCGGGACAAGGAGGAGGUGGAUGUGUCGGGGGAGGCAUGGAUGUCCAUCGAGUGAAGAGGUCUGAG